UAUGGCGCUGACUUCUUUUUCGUAGCUAU
rnacentral:piRNA from 1 species